UACGUAGGGGGCGAGCGUUGUCCGGAAUCAUUGGGCGUAAAGCGCGCGCAGGCGGUCCCUUAAGUCUGAUGUGAAAUCUUGCGGCUCAACCGCAAGAGGUCAUUGGAAACUGGGGGACUUGAGUGCAGGAGAGGGAAGCGGAAUUCCAUGUGUAGCGGUGAAAUGCGUAGAGAUAUGGAGGAACACCAGUGGCGAAGGCGGCUUCCUGGCCUGUAACUGACGCUCAGGCGCGAAAGCGUGGGGAGCAAACAGG
rnacentral:rRNA from 1 species